GGAGGCGCCUUCGGGAGCCUCGCGCGGAAACGGGAAUAUGUCCUAUUAGGUAGUUGGCGGGGUAAAGGCCCACCAAGCCAAUGAUGGGUAGCUGGACUGAGAGGUUGAACAGCCGCAAUGGGAUUGAGAUAUGGCCCAUAUUCCUACGGGAAGCAGCAGUGAGGAAUUUUUCACAAUGGACGAAAGUCUGAUGGAGCAAUACCACGUGAGCGAUGAAGGUCUUCUGAUUGUAAAGCUCUUUUAUUUAGGAAAAAAAGCGCGCCAGGAAAUGGGCGCGCCUUGAUGGUACUAAUUGAAUAAGUGACAGCUAACUAUGUGCCAGCAGCUGCGGUAAAACAUAGGUCACAAGCAUUAUCCGGAUUUAUUGGGCGUAAAGGAAGCGUAGGCGGGGAGGUUGAUCCAUUGUUAAAGGCAUUUGCUCAACAAAUGUGUGCGAUGGAGAUCGCCUCCCUAGAGUUAAUCAGGGGGUACUGGAAUUCAAUGUGUAGCGGUGGAAUGCGUAGAUAUAUUGAGGAACACCAGAGGCUAAGGCGAGUACCUGGGAUAUAACUGACGCUGAGGCUUGAAAGCGUGGGGAGCAAAUGGGAUUAGAUACCCCAGUAGUCCACGCCGUAAACGAUGAGCAUUAGGUAUUUGACGUUACGUCGAGUGCUGUAGCUAACGCGUUAAAUGCUCCGCCUGGGUAGUAUAUAUGCAAAUAUGAAACUCAAAGAAAUUGACGGGGACCUGAACAAGUGGUGGAGCAUGUUGCUUAAUUCGAUAAUACACGAAAAACCUUACCAAGGCUUGUUAUCUACUGCAAAACUAUAGAAAUAUGGUGGAGUAUAUCAGUAAGACAGGUGGUGCAUGGCUGUCGUCAGCUCGUGUCUUGAGAUGUUUGGUUAAGUCCCGUAACGAGCGCAACCCUACUCUCUAGUUAAUUAGUUCUAGAGUGACUGAAUCGUAAGAUAUAGGAAGGAUGGGGCCAAGUCAAGUCAUCAUGCCCCUUAUGCCUUGGGCUGCAAACGUGCUACAAUGGUAGGUACAAUGUGUUGCAAUCUAGCGAUAGUGAGCUA
rnacentral:rRNA from 1 species